ACGUUGGCGGCGUGCCUAAGGCAUGCAAGUCGAACGCCUCACUUCGGUGAGGAGUGGCAAACGGGAGAGUAACACACUGGUAAUCUACCCCAAAGUUGGGAAUAACUUCGAGAAAUCGGGGCUAAUACCCAAUGUGCUGCGUUGACAUAAGUCUUCACAGUAAAGUUCCGGCGCUUUGGGAUGAGCCUAUGUCUCAUCAGCUUGUUGGUAAGGUAAAAGCUUACCAAGGCUACGACGAGUAGCGGGUGUGAGAGCACGACCCGUCUCACUGGGACUGAGACACUGCCCAGACUCCUACGGGAGGCUGCAGUCAGGAAUCUUCCACAAUGCACGAAAGUGUGAUGGAGCGACGCCGCGUGAUUGAUGAAGCCCUUCGGGGUGUAAAAAUCUUUUCUCUGGGACGAACUAAUGACGGUACCAGAGGAAUAAGGGGCUGCUAAUCUCGUGCCAGCAGCAGCGGUAAUACGAGAGCCUCGAACGUUACCCGGAUUUAUUGGGCGUAAAGCGUACGCAGGUGGUUUAUUAAGUCAACGGUAAAAUCCUUCAGCUCAACUGGAGAUCUGCCGCUGAUACUGAUAAACUAGAGGCUGGGAGAGGUAAGCGGAAUUGCCGGUGUAGGGGUCAAAUCCGUUAAUAUCGGCAGGAACACCAAAUGCGAAGGCAGCUUACUAGCACAGUCCUGACACUCAUGUACGAAAGCGUGGGGAGCGAAGCGGAUUAGAUACCCGCGUAGUCCACGCCGUAAACGAUGGAUACUAGACAUAGGGAGUAUCGACCCUCUCUGUGUCGUUCAAAAAAGCUAACGCGUUAAGUAUCCCGCCUGGGGAGUACGGCCGCAAGGCUAAAACUCAAAGGAAUUGACGGGGACUCGCACAAGCGGUGGAUCAUGUGGUUUAAUUCGUCUCUACGCGAGAAACCUCACCAAGGCUUGAAAUCUAGCUGCAUCCCACUAGAAAUAGAGGGAGCCUUCGAGGGUGCUAGACAGGUGCUGCAUGGUUGCCGUCAGCUCGUGUCGUGAGAUGUACGGUUAAGUCCGAUAACGAGCGCAACCCCUAUCCUAAUUUGUACUUUAUUAGGAAACUGCCUCGGUCAACGAGGAGGAAGGAGGGGACGACGUCAAAUCAGCAUGGCCCUUACGCCUUGGGCUACACACAUGAUACAAUGGCCAGUACAAUGGGUCGCCAAGUCGAAAGAUGGAGCUAAUCCCACCAAAACUGGUCUCAGUUCGGAUUGAGGUCUGCAACUCGACCUCAUGAAGCUGGAAUCGCUAGUAACCGUAAAUCAGAACGUUACGGUGAUACGUUCUCGAGUCUUGUACACACUGCCCGUCACGUCAAGAGAGUCGGUAUACCCGAAUAUCGUUGUAGGACGGUAGAAGGUAGGAUCGAUGAUAGGGGCGAAGUC
rnacentral:rRNA from 1 species